rnacentral:rRNA from 1 species
CUGGCUCAGGAUGAACGCUGGCGGCGUGCUUAACACAUGCAAGUCGAACGGAGUUUUAACGGAAGUUUUCGGAUGGAAGUUUAGAAACUUAGUGGCGGACGGGUGAGUAACGCGUGGGUAACCUGCCUCAUACAGGGGGAUAACAGUUAGAAAUGACUGCUAACACCGCAUAAUAUAGCGAAACCGCAUGAUUUUGCUAUCAAAUAUUUAUAGGUAUGAGAUGGGCCCGCGUCUGAUUAGCUAGUUGGUGGGGUAAAAGCCUACCAAGGCGACGAUCAGUAGCCGGCUUGAGAGAGUGACCGGCCACAUUGGGACUGAGACACGGCCCAAACUCCUACGGGAGGCAGCAGUGGGGAAUAUUGGACAAUGGGGGAAACCCUGAUCCAGCGACGCCCGCGUGAGUGAAGAAGUAUUUCGGUAUGUAAAGCUCUAUCAGCAGGGAAGAUAAUGACAGUACCUGACUAAGAAGCCCCGGCUAACUACGUGCCAGCAGCAGC